UCGGAUAUGGUGUAACGGCUAACAUUGCCGCCUCUCACUUGAGACGAGAUUACGCGGCAGCUCGGGGUUCGAUUCCCCGUAUCCGAA